GAUGAACGCUGGCGGCGUGCCUUAUACAUGCAAGUCGAGCGAACGGACGAGAAGCUUGCUUCUCUGAUGUUAGCGGCGGACGGGUUAGUAACACGUGGAUAACCUACCUAUAAGACUGGGAUAACUUCGGGAAACCGGAGCUAAUACCGGAUAAUAUUGUGAACCGCAUGGUUCAAAAGUGAAUGACGGUCUUGCUGUCACUUAUAGAUGGAUCCGCGCUGCAUUAGCUAGUUGGUAAGGUAACGGCUUACCAAGGCAACGAUGCAUAGCCGACCUGAGAGGGUGAUCGGCCACACUGGAACUGAGACACGGUCCAGACUCCUACGGGAGGCAGCAGUAGGGAAUCUUCCGCAAUGGGCGAAAGCCUGACGGAGCAACGCCGCGUGAGUGAUGAAGGUCUUCGGAUCGUAAACCUCUGUUAUUAGGGACGAACAUAUGUGUAAGUAACUGUGCACAUCUUGACGGUACCUAAUCAGAAAGCCACGGCUAACUACGUG
rnacentral:rRNA from 1 species